GACCAGCACAGGACCCCGACUCCUCAGCAUGGAUUCCUUUCUAUGAUGUGUGUCAGGGCAGAAUGAGAACAGCAUUUUACUUCUUAUUUUAUGUGUAUGUGUGCCUGCAUACAUGUAUGUAUAUGCAUCAUAUAUGUGCCUGGUGUCUAUGAAGAAUAGAAGCCAGUAUCAGAUUCGUGGAUGCAGUUACAGAUGUUGUAAGCAACCAUGUGGGUGUCGGGGUCAGAUCCCAGAUCUUUUCUAAGAGCAGCAAGUGCUCCUAACCACUGAGCCAUCUGUCCUGGACUGACUCUUAAACAUCAGCAUCCUUGAAGGUGCAGCCUGUGCUGACACUGAGGUCAGCCCUCUGGGACCAUAUGAAUUGAAAAAGAACCUACUCUGAGAGAGACUCCAUGGAGAAGAUCUACCCACUUUGUAAGGUAUCUUCUACAGUCUAUGGAAGAGGAGCCUCAUUUGGGGAAGCCUCAUUUACCUCAUUACAGAAAAUAUGCCCAUGAAAUCAAGUUAGAAUCACAGGAGAUGGGAAUCUGGACACGGAUAUGGCUCUCAUGCCUUCUUGAUUGUGAGCUUCUCGGUCAGAAAAUGUCUGUCAAUCAUUAUGGCUGUCACUCUCACAGCAAUAGACAAGAACUUAUAUGUAAAGAUGUCUUAGCCAAAAAACUGCUCAUAAACACUGGUCUCUCUCAAAAGUCACCCUGGGAAGCAAUCAGGCAGUGCCAACUCCCUUCCCACCCCAACACAAGCCCUUUGCCAUAGUAAGUAGUAAGAAUGUUCUCUCUGAAACUUAUAUCAAAACUUAAUCCACUCCCCCAACUUCCAUCCUCCAUACACAAAGGUCAGAGGAUGUUCAUAUUUGGAGGCUGUGUCUUUGGGAAGUAAUUGGGGUUAAAUUAGAUAUCAAGCUGGUGUUUCCCUGGUGGGGCUGGUGGCUUUAGAAGAAGCAAAGGAGAGACCUAAACAGAUGUCGUCCUUCCACACGUAUCCUCUGCAUGCUGUGCUGAGCAUGAAAGUCUCCCAAGUGCCAAGCAAAUGUCAGCACCAUGCCCUCAGAUUUCUCAGACACCUCAACUGU